rnacentral:rRNA from 1 species
UGAACGCUAGCGGUAUGCUUAACACAUGCAAGUCGUACGAAAAAGAAAUUUUUAGUGGCGAACGGGUGAGUAACGCGUGAGAAUUUGCCUUUAGGAAGAGGAUAACAAUUAGAAAUAGUUGCUAAAACUCUAUAUGCCAUACGGUGAAAAAAGAAAUUUGCCUAAAGAGAAGCUCGCGUCUGAUUAGCUAGUUGGUAGGGUAAAAGCCUACCAAGGCGACGAUCAGUAGCUGGUCUGAGAGGACGAUCAGCCACACUGGAACUGAGAUACGGUCCAGACUCCUACGGGAGGCAGCAGUGAGGAAUUUUCUGCAAUGGGCGAAAGCCUGACAGAGCAAUACCGCGUGAGGGAUGAAAGCCUAUGGGUUGUAAACCUCUUUUCUCAAGGAGGAAGAUAUGACGUUACUUGAGGAAUAAGCAUCGGCUAACCCUGUGCCAGCAGCCGCGGUAAUACAGGGGAUGCAAGUGUUAUCCGGAUUUAUUGGGCGUAAAGCGUCUGCAGGUUGAUAUUUAAGUCUUUUGGUAGACCUUCGGGCUUAACCUGAAUUCUGCAAAAGAAACUAUUUAUCUUGAGUAUGGUAGAGGUAAAGGGAAUUUCCAGUGGAGCGGUGAAAUGCGUAGAGAUUGGAAAGACACCAACAGCGAAGCACUUUACUGGGCCAGUCUGACACUGAGAGACGAAAGCUAGGGAGCAACGGAUUAGAUACCCGGUAGUCCUAGCUGUAACGAUGGAUAC